CGACGGGCCACGAUCCCCCAACGGGUCGCGACCCUUCUGUGAGGAAGGGAGUC
rfam:Rhodospirillum photometricum DSM 122 draft genome sequence